AGAUGUGCUUUACCCCAUUCCACUCACCCAUCAUCUAAUUUCCUCUCUGUCAGUGGUAAUGGUAUUUGGAGUGUGUUUCUACAUGUGAGGGCUUUCGUGUUGUACUCUACAUGGGCCAUAAUUCUCCAAGUGAGGAAGCUGACUGCACAGGUGAACUGUAGAGUGGUGGAGAGAAUCAGUGUCUGUGAACUCACCCUUUGAGAGAACAGUCCAGAAGCAUCUGUUAUCAGACAGUAAACUGGAGCACCGAAAAGACUGGCUAACAAACGUUUCUCCAGCAUAUCCCUGUUGAAAGCAAAUCCACAAGACAGCCAUUAAGUCUUUCAUAAUUAACGGCAAUGAGGAGAGGAGCUGAGGAGCAGUCCCUCGCUGCACUGAUCUGGAUUUUAAUACCCUCCACAAGCAGCAACAGUGGUGUUUCAGGGCCAGCAACUGCCAGGUAUUCCUCAGAGCUUGUCACCACUCAAGCGUGCAGUUGUCCUUGCCAGGGGGAUUCUGGCUUGUAGAAUACAACCAGGCUGUGCAGCCUGCGUCACCCAGAUUCAUCCAAAGCAGACAACAAUGAUCUGCCUUUCCCUCAGUACAUUGGAGAUGCUCUGGAAAUCUCUGCGGGAAACUACACCCAAGUACUCUGCCAGACAGCUACCUGGGAUGAAGGAAACUGUAUUUGAAUCAUUCUGAUUUGCUUCGUGGUUAUGAAAGCAAAAUCUGUCUGAUGUUUAGGACACGUUUUAGAAAGACACUCUAAUCUUUUUGAAUAGCAUUGCAUCUUGCUGGAAAGAUUACACCUGAUGUACUGCCUACCACAGAACUGUAGAAAUUGAUAUUUGGAAAAGAACCUUGAGCAUUGCCAUAACGUGUCGUAUGAAAUUCCACGAUGUGGUGUUUUUGCAAUGUGAUGUGAUCAUUAAAAUACUUAAAUAGGGAAGAGGCUUCUGGAAAAAGAUGGAUACGAGCAAAAGGCAAUGCAGCGAUUGGAAACAGAAGAAAGGGAAUUUUGGGGUAUAAGUAAAGUAUAAACUCUUGUCCAUGAAAGUAGCUAUUGCAACUAUUUACAUAAGCUUUCCAUCAGUUGCGAUGUCUUAAUCAAAAAAUGAAUGUAUUUCUAAAAGGUAGUUUAGAGAUAAAGCAGAAGAUACUAUUCUGUUGAUGGAACCACCCAUUGCAAUUGCUUGGCCUAUCCUAUGGAAAAGCCUUGACUACAGUAUUGCAGUGGUUCCUCUGGGCUUUAAGAUCUCUGGAAACAUCAUCAGUUUACAGCAGUUUAGUCUUUGUUUUACCUCUCCUGUUUCUAAUAGGCUGAUUUUCAGCUUUCAGCCACAUGUGGCUUCUUUAUGUCUAGAAGCGUCUGCAUUGAACAGUCUCCUUCCUUCUGCGUACAGGGCAUCUUCAAUGGAAAAUUUUGCUCUUUUGAAAAAAUACUGAUCCAGGCAAAGAACAAAAUAUGGUUCUAUUUAGCCUACUGUGAUGAUGACAUUUUCCUCUGAGAUAGCUUUCUCAGUAAGUGAUGUUUCCACAACUUCCUUUGAGAGAAUACUGAAAACAAACAUUCAGAGAACCUGCCUCUCACCAUUGGCAGACCCCCGUGGGCUGCAAAGUUCACUGUGGCUACCCUGAGCUACAAAAGGAAUGGUAGAUGUGGAGUGCUGAGUGAUGGAGGGCAUGUGUGCUGAAUGUUCAGAAAGCACUGUCUUGUAAUACUGGAGAUGUGACAAGGGAGCAGGAAUCUGUGUUUAUGUCUGAGUAAUUCGGACAUGAAACACUGAAAGGCACUGCGUGGGAGAUGUAGCCAGCAGUACCAGUGAAAUCCACGUGUGGGUGCCAUAAAUGGCAACCAAAAUGGACUUCUCAGCAAGAUCUACAAUUUGCAGACUAAUAUGGACUCUUGAGCUUUGCCGGCAAACUCAAGAAGCCAAUGCCUACCUUAUUCCCUGCCUUGUCCUGCUUCACAUCUAUUGCCUGUGUUUACAUCCAUGUGAAACAAGUGAUCCUUCAUUUAUAACUGACUGCAUUUCACAUGGCUGGCUUUACCUCCUAGCUCCAAGGUGGCAAUGGGCCGCUCUCCAUAAUAGAGAGAGCUUUCACAAAAUAUAAAACCACUCUUCUUUCUCCUCACCCAUCACCUUCCUGAUAGUUCCUCCACCUGAAGACUCAAACUGUAAACAUGUGGGAGAAACAGCUUUUCUGACUGGGUGAGAAAUGUGACAUAAUAGUUAUGCUCCAUUUUUGUCAACGUCUGCAGUUUAUCUAAAUAGUUUGCAAUUAUCCCCUCAACUUAACACCUCUGGGAAGCUGGAGCUAAGGUUGCAUAUGUUGCCUGUAAUUUAGGAACCUGAUAAAAAUAUAGAUAACAUUGGUUAAAUAAAAUGAAUCUGAACU
rnacentral:lncRNA from 1 species